CUCUGUUUCGGAUAUGAUUCAGGGCGGAAGGAG
ncrna:Bacillus sp. 17376 L31-Firmicutes ribosomal protein leader